AUAGGGAGUCGUGCCUUCCCGGUGAGUUGAGCUUAAACGGAUGCGGUAAAGCGUGCUAAGGUAGCUAAGUUAUGGCCUAGUUAAUUGUAGGUCCUGUGAAUGGUUUGACGAGUUUUCUACUGUCUCUAAUUUGUUUAGGUGAACUUGAGCAGGGUGUGCAAACGCUCCCCUGAGAAAGAAAGACGAGAAGACCCCGUGAAGUUAGAAAUUUAGUUUUAAAAGUUUUAAGGAAGUUUUAGGUGAUUAGUUUUGGCUGGGGCAGCAAGGGGGCAAGAGUAGACCCCUUAAUUUAAAAGUCUGAUAAGUUUUUGAUCCAUAAAAUUAUAUGUAUGAUUAGCAGAAAAAGUUACUCCGGGGAUAACAGCGUAAUCUGCUUUGAUAGUUCUUAUAGAUGAGUAGGUUUGCGACCUCGAUGUUGGCUCUGGAUAUCCUGAGGCUGUAGAGGGUCUCAAUGGUUGGUUCGUUCGCCCAUUAAAAUCC
rnacentral:rRNA from 1 species